rnacentral:rRNA from 1 species
ACAGCAGUAGCCACGGUAAUACGUAGGUGGCAAGCGUUGUCCGGAAUUAUUGGGCGUAAAGCGCGCGCAGGUGGUUUAAUAAGUCUGAUGUGAAAGCCCACGGCUCAACCGUGGAGGGUCAUUGGAAACUGUUAAACUUGAGUGCAGGAGAGAAAAGUGGAAUUCCUAGUGUAGCGGUGAAAUGCGUAGAGAUUAGGAGGAACACCAGUGGCGAAGGCGGCUUUUUGGCCUGUAACUGACACUGAGGCGCGAAAGCGUGGGGAGCAAACAGGAUUAGAUACCCCUGUAGUCCCUGUCUCUUAUAC